rnacentral:rRNA from 1 species
AUUGAACGCUGGCGGCAGGCCUAACACAUGCAAGUCGAGCGAGCGGCGGACGGUUGAGUAAUGUCUGGGAAACUGCCCGAUGGAGGGGGAUAACUACUGGAAACGGUAGCUAAUACCGCAUACCAUCAGAUGUGCCCACAUGGGAUUAGCUGGUAGGUGGGGUAAUGGCUCACCUAGGCGACGAUCCCUAGCUGGUCUGAGAGGAUGACCAGCCACACUGGAACUGAGACACGGUCCAGACUCCUACGGGAGGCAGCAGUGGGGAAUAUUGCACAAUGGGCGCAAGCCUGAUACAGCCAUGCCGCGUGUAUGAAGAAGGCCUUCGGGUUGUAAAGCACUUUCAGUGGGGAGGCGUUACCCGCAGAAGAAGCACCGGCUAACUCCGUGCCAGCAGCCGCGGUAAUUC